UUAAAGGCAAACCUCAGGAAGAAAAUGAACAAUUAACUGCAGUGGAAUGCAAACCUCAGGAAGAAAAUGAACAAUUAACUGCAGUGGAAUG